rnacentral:miRNA from 1 species
CCCUGGGCCUCUGCUCCCCAG